CACUGCGUAGCUCAGUCUGGUAGAGCACUUGCUUUGGGAGCAAGGUGUCUAAGGUUCGAAUCCUUACGUGGUGA
rnacentral:tRNA from 1 species